rnacentral:rRNA from 1 species
AAUCAACGCUGGCGGCGUGCCUAACACAUGCAAGUCGAACGCGAAAACCCCGCAAGGGGUUAGUAGAGUGGCAAACGGGUGAGUAACACGUGGGUGACCUGCCUUCGAGUGGGGGAUAACGUCCCGAAAGGGACGCUAAUACCGCAUGACAUCCUGCUUUGGAAAAGCGGAGAUCAAAGCUGGGAUUCGCAAGAACCUGGCGCUUGAAGAGGGGCCCGCGCCUGAUUAGCUAGUUGGUAGGGAACGGCCUACCAAAGGCGACGAUCAGUAUCCGGCCUGAGAGGGCGGACGGACACACUGGGACUGAGACACGGCCCAGACUCCUACGGGAGGCAGCAGUGGGGAAUUGUUCGCAAUGGGCGAAAGCCUGACGACGCAACGCCGCGUGGAGGACGAAG